rnacentral:rRNA from 1 species
CCUACGGGAGGCAGCAGUGGGGAAUAUUGCACAAUGGGGGCAACCCUGAUGCAGCGACGCCGCGUGAGUGAGGAAGUAUUUCGGUAUGUAAAGCUCUAUCAGUAGGGAAGAAAAUGACGGUACCUGAUUCAGAAUCCCCGGCUAACUACGUGCCAGCAGCCGCGGUAAUACGUAGGGGGCAGGCGUUAUCCGGAUUUACUGGGUGUAAAGGGAGCGUAGACGGUAGCACAAGUAUGUAGUGAAAUCCCGGGGCUUAACCCCGGAACUGCUUUGGAAACUGUGCAGCUAGAGUGCAGGAGAGGUAAGUGGAAGUCGUAGUGUAGCGGUGAAAUGCGUAGAUAUUAGGAGGAACACCAGUGGCGAAGGCGGCUUACUGGACUGUAACUGACGUUGAGGCUCGAAAGCGUGGGGAGCAAACAGGAUUAGAUACCCUUGUAGUC